rnacentral:rRNA from 1 species
UACGUAGGGACCAAGCGUUGUUCGGAUUUACUGGGCGUAAAGGGCGCGUAGGCGGCAUGACAAGUCACUUGUGAAAUCUCUGGGCUUAACUCAGAACGGCCAAGUGAUACUGUCGGACUAGAGUACAGAAGGGGCAACUGGAAUUCUCGGUGUAGCGGUGAAAUGCGCAGAUAUCAGGAGGAACACCGGUGGCGAAGGCGGUUCUCUGGGCAUGUCCUGACGCUGAGGAGCGAAAGUGUGGGGAGCGAACAGG